GCCGAAAGCUGGAACUAGAAAAGAAUGAAAACCCCGAGAAAGCUUGCAUUGAAGUUAUUUGGAAGCCUAAAUCUGGACAAAUAGGGAAACUAGAAAAGGAAUAUGAAAUGAUAUUGAAGAGAACCCUGCAGAGUAUUUGUAUUUUGACUGUUAAUCCAAAUACUACAACAUCAGUUAUAAUACAGGUUGCCAACGAUGAUGGUGUUGUAUCCUUUAUGCAUUUCCCUUAGGAUUGUUUUACAGUUUCAUUUAUUUGUGCCAUGAGUUUCGGUUUUCCAAAGAUUAGGCUUCCAGUG